rnacentral:rRNA from 1 species
AAGGCAACGAUCCCUAGCUGGUCUGAGAGGAUGAUCAGCCACACUGGAACUGAGACACGGUCCAGACUCCUACGGGAGGCAGCAGUGGGGAAUAUUGCACAAUGGGCGCAAGCCUGAUGCAGCCAUGCCGCGUGUAUGAGGAAGGCCUUCGGGUUGUAAAGUACUUUCAGCAGUGAGGAAGGUUCAUACGUUAAUAGCGUAUGGAUUUGACGUUAGCUGCAGAAGAAGCACCGGCUAACUCCGUG